GGUGAAACAACAACCACGUGUGUAUUAUUUACACAUACGUACAGCUAUAGAUUAGGUACCUGUGUGCAGUACCGGUAUGGUACCGAGCAUUUAUAGUUUAAUAAUAACAUAUUUUUAUUAAUGCAUGUACCUUAUAGCAUGAAAAAAUCAUUUAAUCGCAUUUGGUUCGCCUUUAAACGUGUGAAUUUUAAACCUUGAAAUUCCGACUGGGGAUCAGGAUUCAUAUAUAGUUUCGAGCACCCGGGAUCCUGGCAGUGACCAGUACGUCAUAAGUAACAGAGAGGUUCUAAGAAGCGUGGAGCUCUGGGCCAGUGAUCUUGGGUGUGUUUUGGGAGAGAGGGGAGGAUUUAAGUGGGGAGGAGUGUAACAGGAGCAGCUUUCCAGUGCUUAUACUAGCAGUAGCUAGUGGAAAUUUCCCUUUAGCUCCGUUGGUAGAGCGCUGGACGUCGGCUGCGGAGACCCAAGUUCGAAUCCUUGUGUCACCCACGUAGGGAAAUUCUUCAGCGAUUACAUAAGUACAUUGUGCAUGAAGUAGGACCAUACAAUGUGCACUCUCAUCAAAUGCGCUGUGAAGUUCACGCUGUCAACUCUAAAGUCACAUCGAUGCACCUUGUCAAAAACUCAGGCUUGUUAUCCCCUUCAUAUGGAGCCCACCAAUUCUCUAAGCUGAUGUGUCUAACUACUCAGUGCUCACAAGUGGUGGAGCUGUGCAAGCUUGUUCUUGGAGAGUUCAACAUUGACUGAUACAGGGGGUACAGUUCCAAUAACUUCAGUGUUAUCUGUCGCCGUAAACCAGUGUUCAACCAUUUUCAGCAAUACAGUUCCACAAGAGCAAGAGAAGCCGCACUCAGCACAGGCAAACCUCUCUGUGACGCACACACCCCAAGGCACCUCGCUGUUCAAAUCUCAGUUCAGCCCUUCAGGACAGUAUGAUGUUGUGGUCCAGUGGUAGGCAAAUGCGGUAUUCUACAGCUCGGCGGUCUUUCCCAGGUGCAGCAGUCUGUAGGUGUUUUACUCAGCUUUUGAUCUCUGGCAUUCAGCCUGCUGGUCUGCCAGCAAGCUGAAGAUGGUCGUGAGUUUUCCCCAAGCUUUGCCCGGUUUAAUACUGGCUAUCAUCAUUAGCUGUCUGGUUGAAUAACAAAUAUUCAUGAAUUUCAUCAUAUUUGGCCACUGUCCUAACAGCAUCAGCUGAUGGGAUGUUACAUGUGCUAAAUAUAGGAGUAUAAGGAGAUAUACCCACUUCUGGUUUCAAGGAUGUCACUUCAGAUUGACAACUCCAUUUUCUGAUAUGGUGGAACAGUUUGCACUGUCAUCGUUGUCUUCAUCUCAUUGAACUUCAAGCAAAAUGCAAGCCAUCAAUCCAGGACCUCCUACAGAAAUGCAUCCUACACCUUUCACAGACCUAAAUGUACUGUGUGCAGUAAUGCUCGAAUGACUAUACUCGGGAACUUCCAAAUAUGGAGAAGAGUAAACAUUAAUAACAUAUUUGUAAUAAUCAGCUCAUUACAUAUUAUUCUUGCUGAUAGUAUGAGUACAUCAAUGCAGAAAUUGCAAAGUUCUUGCCCACUUGUUAAAGUGAAGGUAGAAAGUGAUAAUAUUUAAAUUGUGUAAUAUAUAUUACAUAUAGGUGAAUGACUUAAAAUUUUACCCCAAAAGUUCAUUUUUAGAGGCAAAUAAAUGUUGUCAGAUAUACUUUUGGUGCGAUAACUUUCCUAUUCCUUAGGAUAUCGUCCUACUUUCCAAACAAACCCCAAAACACCUUUAUAACAUUAAUAGAACUCUCAGAAUAAGACACAAGGUACAAUUUUUGUGAUGGUCCAAAUUUAAGGUCAUAUACCAUGAAUUUCCAAAGUACUUUAACUGCCUUAUCGGUGUAAAUGUUCAAAUAAUAUGUCUUUGUCCAUGUUCAUUUGUAAUAUUUUUUGGUUAAAUAAGUAUAAAUAA